AUUGAACGCUGGCGGCAGGCUUAACACAUGCAAGUCGAACGGGAGCGGUUGCUUCGGUAGCUGAGCUAGCGGCGGAGGGGUGGGUAAUGCUUGGGAAUCUGCCUAUUAUCUGUGGAGAGGAUUCUGAAAGGAGUGCUAAUACCCCAUACGCGCAUCGGAGGCACGCGGGUGAGCUUCGGAUCUUUCGCCCAUAUGUGAGCCUAAGUCAGAUUAGCUGGUUGGUGGGUUAAAGGCCUACCAAGGCGACGAUCUGUAGCGGGUCUGAGAGGAUGAUCCGCCACACUGGAACUGAGACACGGCCCAGACUCCUACGGGAGGCAGCAGUGGGGAAUAUUGGACAAUGGGCGCAAGCCUGAUCCAGCCAUGCCGCGUGUGUGAAGAAGGCCUUCUGGUUGUAAAGCCCUUUAGGCGGGGAGGAAGCGAAGUGGAUUAAUACGCUGCGAUAGUGACGGUAACGCGAAAAUAAGCACCGGCUAACUUCGUG
rnacentral:rRNA from 1 species